GGGCAGAACGCCGGCCAGCUCAGCUGCAGGCCUGCGAAACUCUUAUAUAGACCCCACGGGAGUUGUAGGGUCUCAGAAGCAGCUGUGGCUGCCAGGCUCGUUUCCGCUGCGCGUUCGACAAAACUCUAAAAAGUCCAAAUUUUGAGCCCACAGAUCCCGCUGCUACACGAAAGACAAAAGGAAAGAGGACUCUGAAAGGUGGGGCAUGUUCCGUCUGACUGAGAAAAAGUCUUCCUGAGAGAAUGAAAAGGGAUUUCCAGGCAGAGCAUCGUCCAUCAGCAGCAAGUACAGCAAGCUCCACUGUCCGGUAGAACGUCGCCGCGAUUCCAACGUAACGGAAAACCAGAAGACUUGUUGUUACGACAACUGGAAGUAACAGAGUGCUUUUUGGAAGGCGAGAAAGAGGAUUUAGCGUACCCUUUUUGGGCAAUACACCGAGUUCCACGGCUAGUGGUGUCCCGUGUCUGAAUGAAAGUGAGUCUCGGCGGCAUACCAUUACCUCAACAGGGUUCUCGACUGACAGACGCGAAUGCAGUCAAGGCGAGAAAGACGCGCAUGAAAUUAUGUACCGAUGGACUGCCUUUUAGUGCUGACAAGCUUCACGGAUGAUGUUUCGAGCUUGUGGACUCAGCGCGCUACGGCAGAAGUUUCACACGAGUUCCGGAUGCGCAUCGUCAGAACAUGUUUUGUAGUCAGAAUAUUUGAGUCUUUCACCUGCCGGAUGUUACAAACGGACCAACACGCAAUGAAAAAAUGAAGCUGCUGGCCUUGCCGCGUCUCGCUGUAUCGAGGAAGAGAAUGAUCAAUCGUUAAACUCCCA
rnacentral:lncRNA from 1 species